CGGACUGUAGCUCAGUUGGUAGAGCAUCUCACUUUUAAUGAGGGGGUCGCGGGUCCGAGCCCCGCCAGUCCGACCA
rnacentral:tRNA from 1 species